rnacentral:rRNA from 1 species
UACGUAGGGUGCGAGCGUUGUCCGGAAUUACUGGGCGUAAAGAGCUCGUAGGUGGUUUGUCGCGUUGUUCGUGAAAACUCACAACUCAAUUGUGGGCGUGCGGGCGAUACGGGCAGACUGGAGUACUGCAGGGGAGACUGGAAUUCCUGGUGUAGCGGUGAAAUGCGCAGAUAUCAGGAAGAACACCCGUGGCGAAGGCGGCUCUCUGGGACGGUACUGACGCUGAGACGCGAAAGCGUGGGGAGCGAACAGG